AACGAACGCUGGUGGCGUGCUUAACACAUGCAAGUCGAACGAGAACAUUUCCUUCGGGAAAUUAGUAAAAGUGGCGCAAGGGUGAGUAACACGUGAAUAAUCUGCCCCUCGAGAUCGGGAUAACAUGGUGAAAACUAUGCUAAUACCGGAUAAGACCACAUUUCAUAAGAAAUGCGGGAAAAAGGAGUCUCAAUCUUCACUCGAGGAUGAGUUCGCGCAACAUUAGCUUGUUGGUGAGAUAAAAGCUCACCAAGGCUACGAUGUUUAGCCGGCCUGAGAGGGUGAACGGCCACACUGGAACUGAGACACGGUCCAGACUCCUACGGGAGGCAGCAGUGGGGAAUAUUGCGCAAUGGGCGAAAGCCUGACGCAGCAAACGCCGUGUGAGCGAUG
rnacentral:rRNA from 1 species